UACAGAGGGGGCAAGCGUUGUUCGGAAUUACUGGGCGUAAAGGGCGCGUAGGCGGCCCGCUAAGUCGAACGUGAAAUCCCCAGGCUUAACCUGGGAACUGCGUCCGAUACUGGCAGGCUUGAAUCCGGGAGAGGGAUGUGGAAUUCCAGGUGUAGCGGUGAAAUGCGUAGAUAUCUGGAGGAACACCGGUGGCGAAGGCGACUACCUGGCCUGUUCUUGACGCUGAGGCGCGAA
rnacentral:rRNA from 1 species